AUGGUGGAAGUUGUGCCUCACUCCUGCGCCCCGUCUUCCCCUGGAGGGAAAAGGAAGGGCCCGUGUUACUCAGAGGCCUGGAGAGACAUCUGAUGCUCAGCCAGUUGGACGAUGGAUCCUGUGAAAGAUCUGGUUUUGUGGUUGUGGCUCCCUUCUAUGGCAUGGCUACCCACUUCUUGGUUGAAAAUAAUGAACUUUGGGCAACCCUGAGAAGGAGGAAAUAUAUUUAGCUCACCAUCACUCACAGAACAGACAGACCCUCGCCAUGGCAGGCAGCUUGGUCUAGGUAGGAACUGUCAGAAACUCAACGUGGUUUAAAAUGCCACUUUUCCCUCUGCAAGGGAAAACACGGAGAUGGAGCUGUUUCCAUGUAGGGGCCACGGUGUGUCGGGGCAGAGAAGAGAGGAGGAGACCGCCUGGGGCAGGAGCUGGGGAGCCUGCAGGCACCUCCUGCACCCCAGCUCACUCUUCUGAACACACUCCCUGAGCUGCAGCUUUGGACACCAUUCUUCCCACCUGAAGAAGAU
rnacentral:lncRNA from 1 species